AUAGAUCCUGAAACCGCAUGCUUACAAAAAGUAGGAGCCUCGAAAGGGGUGACUGCGUACCUUUUGUAUAAUGGGUCAGCGACUUACAUUCAGUGGCAAGGUUAACCGAAUAGGGAAGCCGUAGAGAAAUCGAGUCCGAAUAGGGCGAUCAGUCGCUGGGUGUAGACCCGAAACCAAGUGAUCUAUCCAUGGGCAGGAUGAAGGUGCCGUAACAGGUACUGGAGGUCCGAACCGACUAAUGUUGCAAAAUUAGCGGAUGACCUGUGGAUAGGGGUGAAAGGCUAAACAAACUUGGAAAUAGCUGGUUCUCUCCGAAAACUAUUUAGGUAGUGCCUCAAGUAUUACCAUCGGGGGUAGAGCACUGUUUUGGCUAGGGGGUCAUGGCGACUUACCAAACCAAGGCAAACUCCGAAUACCGAUGAGUACAGCUUGGGAGACAGAGCACCGGGUGCUAACGUCCGGACUCAAGAGGGAAACAACCCAGACCGCCAGCUAAGGUCCCUAAAAUUGGCUAAGUGGGAAACGAAGUGGGAAGGCUAAAACAGUCAGGAUGUUGGCUUAGAAGCAGCCAUCAUUUAAAGAAAGCGUAAUAGCUCACUGAUCGAGUCGUCCUGCGCGGAAGAUGUAACGGGGCUAAGCCAGUUACCGAAGCUGCGGAUUUGCAAUUUAUUGCAAGUGGUAGGAGAGCGUUCUGUAGGCCUGUGAAGGUGGUGGUGUAAACCCUGCUGGAGGUAUCAGAAGUGCGAAUGCUGACAUGAGUAGCGUUAAAGGGGGUGAAAAGCCCCCUCGCCGUAAGCGCAAGGUUUUCUACGCAACGUUCAUCGGCGUAGAGUGAGUCGGCCCCUAAGGCGAGGCAGAGAUGCGUAGCUGAUGGGAAACAGGUCAAUAUUCCUGUACCGAUGACAAGUGCGAUGUGGGGACGGAGAAGGUUAGCUCAGCCAACUGUUGGAUAUGUUGGUUCAAGCCUGUAGUCGUGCUCGGUAGGCAAAUCCGCCGGGCUUAGAUGAGGGGUGAUAACGAGGGUGCUUGCACCUGAAGUGAGUGAUACCCUGCUUCCAGGAAAAGCCACUAAGCUUCAGCUUGUCAUUGACCGUACCGCAAACCGACACUGGUGCGCGAGAUGAGUAUUCUAAGGCGCUUGAGAGAACUCAGGAGAAGGAACUCGGCAAAUUGAUACCGUAACUUCGGGAGAAGGUAUGCCCCAAGUAGGUGAACUCGAACAGAGGGAGCCCAACGGGGUUGCAAAAAAUCGGUGGCUGCGACUGUUUAAUAAAAACACAGCACUCUGCAAACACGAAAGUGGACGUAUAGGGUGUGACGCCUGCCCGGUGCUGGAAGAUUAAAUGAUGGGGUGCAAGCUCUUGAUUGAAGUCCCAGUAAACGGCGGCCGUAACUAUAACGGUCCUAAGGUAGCGAAAUUCCUUGUCGGGUAAGUUCCGACCUGCACGAAUGGCGUAACGAUGGCCACACUGUCUCCUCCUGAGACUCAGCGAAGUUGAAAUGUUUGUGAUGAUGCAAUCUCCCCGCGGAAAGACGGAAAGACCCCAUGAACCUUUACUGUAGCUUUGUAUUGGACUUUGAACAGAUCUGUGUAGGAUAGGUGGGAGGCUUUGAAGCGAGGUCGCUAGAUCUUGUGGAGCCGACGUUGAAAUACCACCCUGGUGUGUUUGAGGUUCUAACCUAGGUCCAUUAUCUGGAUCGGGGACAGUGCAUGGUAGGCAGUUUGACUGGGGCGGUCUCCUCCCAAAGCGUAACGGAGGAGUUCGAAGGUACGCUAGUUACGGUCGGACAUCGUGAUAAUAGUGCAAUGGCAUAAGCGUGCUUAACUGCGAGACUGACAAGUCGAGCAGAUACGAAAGUAGGACAUAGUGAUCCGGUGGUUCUGUAUGGAAGGGCCAUCGCUCAACGGAUAAAAGGUACUCUGGGGAUAACAGGCUGAUACCGCCCAAGAGUUCAUAUCGACGGCGGUGUUUGGCACCUCGAUGUCGGCUCAUCUCAUCCUGGGGCUGUAGCCGGUCCCAAGGGUAUGGCUGUUCGCCAUUUAAAGAGGUACGUGAGCUGGGUUUAAAACGUCGUGAGACAGUUUGGUCCCUAUCUUCCGUGGGCGCUG
rnacentral:rRNA from 1 species